rnacentral:rRNA from 1 species
CGACCCCAGGUCAGGCGGGACUACCCGCUGAGUUUAAGCAUAUCAAUAAGCGGAGGAAGAGAAACUUACAAGGAUUCCCUUAGUAACGGCGAGCGAACCGGGAAUAGCCCAACUUGAGAAUCGGUCGGUUCUGCCGUCCGAAUUGUAGUCUAAAAAAAACCGUCAA